rnacentral:rRNA from 1 species
AGUGAACGCUGUCGGUAGGCCUAACACAUGCAAGUCGAACGGCAUCACAGUAAGAGCUUGCUCUUACGGGUGGCGAGUGGCGGACGGGUGAGGAAUACAUCGGAAUCUACUUUUUCGUGGGGGAUCACGUAGGGAAACUUACGCUAAUACCGCAUACGACCUACGGGUGAAAGCAGGGGAUCUUCGGACCUUGCGCGAUUGAAUGAGCCGAUGUCGGAUUAGCUAGUUGGCGGGGUAAAGGCCCACCAAGGCGACGAUUCGUAGCUGGUAUGAGAGGAUGAACAAAAACAAAGGAACGGAGACAAGGUCCAGAGUGCAACGGGAGGCAGUAGUGGAGAAUAAUGGAAAAUAGGAGCAAGCCUGAUCCAACAAUACCGCGUAGGUAAAGAAGGCCUUCGGGUUGUAAAGCCCUUUUGUUGGGAAAGAAAAGGAGAAGGUUAAUAACACGAUGUACUGACGGUACCAAAAGAAUAAGAACCGGCUAACAGAGUG